rnacentral:sRNA from 1 species
CCCUAGCCCCGAUAGUAGUGGAAAUCCUUUUGUGCCGGGGUUCGGCACAAAAGAUUGGAACGGAUAGCGGGAUUAGCU